UACACUUGGCAUUGAGGUCCCCCGCGACGAU
rnacentral:sRNA from 1 species